GAAGGCGACGUUCCGGUCCUACCGGGAGGCAGCAGCCACCGUGAUGGCUUCAAACUGACCAAAUCCACCCAAACUCUCGCUUUGUCCUGCACUCCUCGCAGUGGGGACUUAAUCUCUCAAAAAUGCACACAAAAUUGUCUUCACUGCACAAUCCUAAAAUAACUUGGGCAGCUCAGAGGAUUGUCCUAAUGCCAUUACAUUACUACUGAGCAAGCAGGAGAGUCAGCGAAGGGUUGCGACAGGAGGAGCAGGGACACUUCACCUUAUGACACCAAAGAAUAAUCUUCCCAACUCUGGGCCUCAAAGACAGACUUCAAUGAGGGGACUGCCUUCCCCCAUCCCUCACGCUCCCCUGAAGGCUGCCUGCAGCAGCAUUGGGUUUCACCACAUCUAAGGUAAAUCAACACAAAUGCUCUUUACAUUUUAUCCAUCUUAGGUAUUGUAUCAGAUACUGUUAUAUAAUACAUCUGUUACUAUUCAGGAAUAAUAACAUCCCUCGUUUUGAAGUUGAUGUGCCAAGGGACCAUUUUUUUGGGUCACAUCACAGAGCCGGGAUAUUAAAAACAAGAUCAAAUUCUCAUUUAAUAAAUUGAUAAUACCAAUCAUAAAAUAAAGUCCAUAACAUUUUUCAGAGAUGUAUCCCUUUGAAAGAUAUGGUUAGCUUUAACAUAAAUGGCAAUGUUAGUUACCGUAAAAAAUAUGUUGUUUUAUUAUUUUAUUAAUAAUUAUUAGUAUCCAAUUCAACAUACUGUAUAUUCC